rnacentral:rRNA from 1 species
AUGGCGCUCGAUUUGGGAGCCCUCGCUCUCAAGUACACCGGGCUGGCGGUGUCGGACCACGACUCCAUCGUCGCCAUCAACAUCUUCAUCGCGCUGCUCUGCGGCUGCAUUGUCUUCGGCCACCUGCUCGAGGGGAACCGCUGGGUCAAUGAGUCCACCACCGCGCUUGUCCUGGGGCUCAUCACUGGUGGCGUGAUUUUGAUCUGCACCAAAGGGGUGAAUUCACGGAUCCUUAUCUUCAGCGAGGAUAUUUUUUUCAUCUACUUGCUCCCGCCCAUCAUUUUUAACGCCGGGUUUCAAGUAAAGAAAAAGCAAUUCUUCCGCAACUUUGCGACAAUUAUUUUAUUUGGUGCUGCUGGAACAUUGAUAUCCUUUGUAAUAAUCACGUUUGGUGCUAUGGGAUUGUUCAGCAAACUUGAUGUUGGUCCACUUGAGCUUGGGGACUAUCUUGCAAUUGGGGCUAUCUUCUCAGCAACAGAUUCUGUUUGCACCUUACAGGUGCUUAACCAGGAUGAAGCACCCCUACUGUAUAGUCUAGUUUUUGGUGAAGGUGUUGUUAAUGAUGCUACAUCAGUUGUGCUCUUCAAUGCAAUUCAAAACAUUGAUAUUAAUCAUUUUGAUGUCUUCGUUCUACUACAAUUCAUCGGAAAAUUCCUCUACCUAUUCUUCACCAGCACCGUUCUUGGAGUAGCUGCUGGGUUGCUUAGUGCAUACAUUAUUAAGAAACUUUGUUUUGCAAGACACUCAACUGACAGAGAAGUUGCUAUCAUGAUACUCAUGGCAUACCUUUCAUAUAUGCUGUCAAUGCUGCUGGAUCUGAGUGGCAUUCUAACCGUGUUCUUCUGUGGAAUAGUAAUGUCACAUUACACUUGGCAUAAUGUCACAGAAAGCUCAAGGGUUACUACGAAGCAUACUUUCGCAACUUUAUCAUUCAUUGCUGAGAUUUUUCUUUUUCUCUAUGUCGGGAUGGAUGCAUUGGACAUUGAUAAAUGGAAAUUAGCUAGUAGCAGUCCUAAGAAACCAAUUGCUUUAAGCGCUGUUAUAUUGGGUUUGGUUAUGGUUGGAAGAGCAGCAUUCGUAUUCCCUUUAUCUUUUCUAUCCAACUUAAGUAAAAAAGAGUCACAUCCAAAGAUUUCCUUCAACCAACAGGUAAUCAUAUGGUGGGCAGGUCUCAUGAGAGGAGCAGUUUCAAUUGCACUUGCUUAUAACAAGUUUACAACAUCUGGUCAUACUGCCGUGCGAGUUAAUGCUGUCAUGAUCACAAGCACAAUCAUUGUUGUUCUGUUCAGCACAAUGGUUUUCGGCUUGCUGACUAAGCCUCUGAUUAAUCUCCUCAUCCCACCAAGACCUGGCACCGCAGCUGAUAUCUCAAGCCAGUCAUUCCUAGACCCACUUACAGCGAGCUUGUUGGGAUCGGACUUCGAUGUAGGCCAGCUCACCCCCCAAACAAACCUUCAGUAUCUUCUCACCAUGCCAACUCGCUCGGUUCAUCGUGUAUGGCGCAAGUUCGAUGAUAAGUUCAUGCGCCCAAUGUUUGGGGGAAGAGGCUUCGUCCCAUUUGUGCCUGGUUCACCCAUAGAGAGGAGCGUCCAUGGGCCUGGCUUGUUGGGCACUGUGACGGAGGCAGAAGACCGUAGUUAA